GGGGGUAGAGCACUGGAUGGGCUAGGGGGUCUCACCGACUUACCAAACCUAACCAAACUCCGAAUACCGAUGAGUACUAUCUGGCAGACAGACCACGGGUGCUAAGGUCCGUGGUCAAGAGGGAAACAGCCCUGACCGCCAUCUAAGGUCCCUAAGUCAUGGCUAAGUGGGAAAGGAUGUGAGAAUCCCAAAACAACCAGGAGGUUGGCUUAGAAGCAGCCAUCCUUUAAAGAAAGCGUAACAGCUCACUGGUCUAA
rnacentral:rRNA from 1 species